rnacentral:rRNA from 1 species
AGCAGCCGCGGUAAUUCCAGCUCCAAUAGCGUAUAUUAAAGUUGUUGCAGUUAAAAAGCUCGUAGUUGAAUUUCGGGAUUGACGUGAUGGUCAUGCCUUAAGGGGUAUGAACUGUUACAGUUGAUUUCUCACCCUUCUGGAGAAACUUGAUGUCCUUUAUUGGGUGUCUUGCGGAUCCAGGACCUUUACCUUGAAAAAUUAGAGUGUUUAAAGCAGGCAUUUUUGCUCGAAUACAUUAGCAUGGAAUAAUAGAAUAGGUACGGCAUGGUUCUAUUUUGUGGUUUCUAGGAUCACCGUAAUGAUUAAUAGGGAUAGUUGGGGGCAUUAGUAUUCAAUUGUCAGAGUGAAAUUCUUGGAUUUAUUGAA